GCUGUCCAUCAAAGCGAUGUUAACGUUAAUCAAGAUGUGAUUGUCAAAGCAAAAUAAUCAUUGUAACUACAUGCAACUAAAUUAUUUGCAACUCUUAGUCGGUUUGACAAUAUAUAUCUAUAUAUGCAUGAUAUGUAAGGAGAAGUCUCAAAACAAGUUGUUUUUAACAAAACGUUAGUUAUACAUGUCAUAGUAUUAUAAAAUCUACCACAGAAGGAACAUAUGGCUUUGAGCUAAUGUCUGAUAAUUUUAUGUGUCAUUUGUAUCUUUAUUUCACAUGAUCCAUCAACCAUUUCCAACUCUUUAGAAUUAAAGGAGAUGAUCAAUUAUCUUAGACCAGCUUUUGUGGGUAUGAUUUCGACUGUUGUC
rnacentral:lncRNA from 1 species